GCCUUUCGGGGCCGGCCCGCGCUCCGCGCUGAGGGCGGGCGGUGGCGCGGGGCACCACGGGAAGGGCUUUUCCCGCCGCCCGGGCCGGGAGAGGAGGAGGCGGCGCGGGGGCAGCGAGCGCGUCGGGCGAGCGGGGCAGCGGCGCACGGCAACCCAGAGCCUUCUAGGAUGUGACCAUGGAGUGCCUGUCACUGCCAGUGACCUCCUUAGAAGCCCCAGAGAGCUCUGCGAGGUCACCGUGGAAGCCCUGUGAGUGCAGCCUUCAACACCUUUGGAGGAUGUCGCUGUAGAUCCUGUGAGUGCCUGUGACAUUGCAGCUUUUUAACAGCAUGGAGACUUCUAGGAUGUCACCGUGGAACCCCUGUGAGUGCCUGUGACCUCACGGCUGCUUAGCAGCCUGGAGACACUUGUGAUGCUGCCAUUGAGACCCUGUGACAGUCUGUGAGGUCAGUGUGGGUUGGCAAAGGGGAGACUCCUGGGAUGUUCCCAUGGAACCCCUGGGAUUGCCCAUGCCCUCAGUGUUCUUUAGGAGCUUGGAGACCGCUGGGAUGUCACCACAGAACCUCAGUGAGUGCCUGUGCCAAAUGGGCUCCUUAACAUGUAGAGACAUCUCUGUUGUCCUCAUGGAUGCUGGUGACUGCCUGGGACCUCGCAAGUCUUUGGAAGAUGAAGGAGCUGUGGCGUGUCACCAUGGAGUCACUGUGCCUGUUUGUGAUCUCUGUGCUUUUGAUCAGGCUGGAGACAACUGUGAUGUCACCAGGGACUGGAGUGGGGGCGUGGUGGUUGAGGGAGGUGAGGGUGAGGGGAGGAACGUGUGGCAGGACUCGCUGGG